rnacentral:lncRNA from 1 species
GCCAUGGAUAUCUGUCAGUACCAUUUAAAUUGAAUUCUUUAACUGCAAUUAAUAGAUAUUGUUUAUUUAAGAUUUAGUGUUAGGUUAGGGUUUUUACAUGUAAAAAUUGGGUUUUAAGGCUAGUGAAAGUAUAAGGGUAAGGUGUUGGUUAUGGUCAGUGUAACGGCUAGAAAUAUAAUUGGUGAAGCUCAAUAAUAGUUCG